UACCUGCCAUAUCUUAACUUCUUUUUUUUUAAGACCAACAGAGCUUUUCAGGAGCUGCAAUACUCAAUCAGACCAAGGAGCUAUGAAUGACAUGAAGCUGUGGGAAAAAGGGAGUAUUAAGAUGCCAUUUAUAAAUAUUCCUGUUCUUGAUAUUAAAAGAUGUCAGCCAGAAAUGUGGAAGGCAAUUGCCUGUUCACUGCAGAUUAAACCUUGCCACAGCAAAUCUAGAGGAAGUAUUAUCUGCAAAUCAGAUUGUGUAGAAAUACUCAAGAAAUGUGGAGAUCAUAAUAAAUUUCCUGAGGGCCACACAGCUGAAAGUAUUUGUGAGCUCUUAUCUCCAACAGAUGACUUGGAGAACUGUAUCCCUUUGGAUACAUAUCUGAGUCCAAGUUCUCUAGGUAACAUUGUAGAAGAAGUUACACAUCCAUGUAAUCCAAAUCCAUGUGCUGCUAACCAGUUAUGUGAAGUGAAUAGGAAAGGAUGUCAAUCUGGAGAACUGUGUCUUCCAUAUUUGUGUGUUCCAGGUAAGGGUUUUGGACUUUUGUGUACGUGAGUUUUGCUGAUAA